rnacentral:tRNA from 1 species
GCCAACUUAGCUCACCUGGCAGAGCAGCACCCUCGUAACGUGCAGGUACCCGGUUCGAGCCCGGGAGUUGGCUUUC